rnacentral:rRNA from 1 species
AUAUCAGUAAGCGGAGGAAAAGAAACUAACAAGGAUUCCCGUAGUAACGGCGAGUGAACUGGGAUCAGCUCAAAUUUAAAAUCUGGCCUUCGGGUCCGAAUUGUAGUCUAAAGAGGUGCUAUCAUGCAGACGACGUGCGUACAAGUGUCCUGGAAUGGACCAUCACAGAGGGUGAGAAUCCCGUUUGGAUGCACGACGUCUGUGUAUACGAGGCACUCUCUAAGAGUCGAGUUGUUUGGGAAUGCAGCUCAAAAUGGGUGGUAAACUUCAUCCAAGGCUAAAUAUUGGCAAGAGACCGAUAGCGCACAAGUA